rnacentral:rRNA from 1 species
GACAGAGGGUGCAAACGUUGUUCGGAAUUACUGGGCGUAAAGCGUGUGUAGGCGGCCAUGUAAGUCAGGUGUGAAAGCCCCGGGCUCAACCCGGGAAGUGCACUUGAUACUGCGUGGCUUGAGUAUCGGAGAGGUUGGUGGAAUUCUCGGUGUAGAGGUGAAAUUCGUAGAUAUCGAGAGGAACACCGGUGGCGAAGGCGGCCAACUGGACGAAUACUGACGCUGAGACACGAAAGCCAGGGGAGCGAACGGG